UACGUAGGGGGCUAGCGUUGUUCGGAAUUACUGGGCGUAAAGCGCGCGCAGGCGGUUCUUCAAGUCAGUGGUGAAAGCCCGGAGCUCAACUCCGGAACUGCCAUUGAAACUGUGGAACUUGAGGAUGAGAGAGGUGAGUGGAAUUCCCAGUGUAGAGGUGAAAUUCGUAGAUAUUGGGAAGAACACCGGUGGCGAAGGCGGCUCACUGGCUCAUUUCUGACGCUCAGGCGCGACAGCGUGGGGAUCAAACAGG
rnacentral:rRNA from 1 species